GGUGUCCUUGGGCUGAAAGGCAGGACUCUGUCAGGAGGAGCCCUGCUUCCAUUGACAUAACAGCUGGGGAAGUGUCACCAAACUCACAAACAAGCCAACACCAAAAAGGUUAAGCCAUGUGGGGGAGGGCGAACAGAGGGCGAGGAGUGGCACCUCGGAGCCGCUCAGCCCCUCGGCUUCUCUCUCGUUCCAGCCAGAUGCCCUCAAAGGUCGUUGGCUAAGUAAGCAUUGGGACUCCCACUUCCUCCUGCACGGCAGCAACGGAGAUUCCAGGACUGCUCCGGAGAAGGGCCGGCUCCCUCCUUUCCUGCAGACUGGCUCCCAGCCUCUCCCCCAGGGCCCCCCACAGCCCUCUGCGGGAAUUACCUGCAGGUGGUCAAGUUCCAAAUGCAGCAACGUGUCCUCCCUUCAAUGGACACAGGAGAUGCUUUCCUGGAAAAGCCAGCGAGGAUUAACUGUGCAGCAAAGAUCCCCAGGAUAUAUUUUCUAAGGUUCUAGCUCAGGGUGAGACCUUUCUGUGCCCUUUCUACGUCACCUGGAGCCCGUGACGCCCACUCAUCUGUCUGGCUGGAAUCGCCGCCUGGCCCCUCACCACGGUUAUUGCCUUUCGUGCCGAGUUGCCCGGGUUUGCUGUGUUAUUGGCUCGUUUUUCAUUCUGCAUCUGCAGUAGCCAGACUUGGAGAUGAAAAGCGUGUGGCGCCUAACCAUGAUGAAAGAGGGGCGCCUGCGAGUGCCUGAGCGUCUGAAAAGGACCUUUCAGAGGCGGAGGAGCAGAGGAGGAGAGUGACUGCGGGCUCAGCUGGCCCCGUGGCCCCGUGGCCCCGUGGCCCCGUGGUCUGGAUGGCGUGGCUGGAGUCUGGCCUCUCAGAGCCGAGGCUUCCUGAGCUGUGAGGCGAGAGAGAGAGAGAGAGAUUCACCUUGCAGAGUUCUACGGCGCGGCACGGAGCGGCCAUUCCAUAAGCAUCGUUGCCGUAGCUGUAAUAUGUUAUCACUAUAACGUAUAUCUAUGAGUCAUAAAAUAAUAGAACUAUUUUAUUUUGGAGAUCUCUUAGAAAACAUAAACAGGAGAAAGAACCAUGAAAUGGCUGACUUGAGAAUAGCUUCCGCUCCGAUAUUCAAUUACCCUUCCCGCUCUCUCCCCCUCUCUCUCCUUCUGCAAUUUGAUUAUUUCGGGGCCCACAAUGCACCUGUGCCAACAUCCCUGGGCCUCUCCUGAGGGCACACACGAGUGAAAUAAACAGGCCUUGUCUGCGCCCUCUCUCUUUGGGAGUGGCGUGGGUAUGGAGACCCCCUACAAA